rnacentral:rRNA from 1 species
AUGUCGCCUCAGUCUUUCACCUUGGAGACCACCACCACGACGCCUGCUGCCAAGGGGGCAAACCCUUCCUACUUCCAAUCCGCUCCAGCUGGCCAUGAGAUGAUCCAGCACAAGGAGCUUCUUCUCCACUUGUACGCCUACCAGAACGUCCAGAAAACCCCAGAUGCUAACCAGGCAGUCAUAGUUGAGUCAAAGCGCCCCAAGUGUUUCGGAAUCCUCGCUGCUAAUGACUGGACCGUGUACGAUGGUCCUGGCCACAAUGCAAACCUUGUCGCGCACGCUCAAGGUUUGCACCUUGGGGCUAGCAUGGCCAAAGAGAACUGGUUCAUAUGUUUCAACAUGGUCUUCGUCGAUCAGAGGUUUACAGGUUCUAGUUUCAAGGUGAUGGGGGACUUUCAAGGCACUGCCCACAACGGUGAAUGGGCAAUCGUUGGUGGGACCGGAGAGGUUGUAAUAUGCACAAGGUGUCAUCGCCUUCAAGAAGACCCAACAAUCCGAGAGAAACGCUAG